UUGUCGUCGUUAAUCUUCACCAGUGUCAAGGAAAGGCGGCAAAGGUUCUGCAAAGCGAGGGAAAUCCAUAGCAACACCGCAGCGCCAGCCAAGCGACAUCCUGCCACGCGUUCGCGUGCAAGCUACAAUAUCGAACACUCCGUAAGAUACCCUCAAAUGGCUAUCAAGGAGAUGGAAGACCUCGCUACGACCAUUCGGCAACUGGUGCCGAAUCCUACUGACGAACGAGUUCAGUGCCACCAUGUGCCAGAGCUCCUUGCUUAG
rnacentral:misc_RNA from 1 species